UCCUACGGGAGGCAGCAGUCUACGGGAAGGCAGCAGUUCUACGAGAAGGCCCAGGUUGUAAAGCACUUUCAAUUGUGAGGAAGGUCUUGGGGUUAAUACCCCCGAGUCUUGACGUUAACUUUAGAAGAAGCACCGGCUAACUCUGUGCCAGCAGCCGCGGUAAUA
rnacentral:rRNA from 1 species